UUUCCUUUUUCGCGUGGAGUAGAAGUGUGUAUUGUUUUCUCGAAAUGUACAAGAGGAAUACAAGAGGACUCGAGGAGAAAGACACAAAUCCGUAAUUCCGGAUCUCAUCUACACACACCAUCGCCCCCCAUCAAAACCCGCCGUCGUGGUUGCGGAGCGGAGAUGAGGUGCUACACGGCGGCGGCGGCAACGCUGCUGCUUCUGCUGGUGCCGCUGGCGGCGGCGGAGGCGGCGAUUGCGUCGUACAGGGAGAGGACGGAGGAGGAGAUGCGGCGGGUGUUCGUGGAGUGGAUGGCAAAGCACGGGAUGGCGUACGGCUCCGCCGUCGAGGAGGAGCGCCGGUACGCUAUUUUCAAGGACAAGCUCCGCACCGUCGACCGGCACAACGCCGGCGCCGAUGCCGGGAUCCACCCGUACCGCCUCGGCCUCAACUCGUUCUCCGACCGCACCAGCGCGGAGAUAUAUAGCCGUGUCAUUCCAUAGCCCGAGAACCAAAAUAAAGUCUGGAGGUAGCACCCGUCCUGGAGAGACAAAGCACAGCUGGAGGAAGCCUUAUGUCGCUUGGUAAAGUUGGCGCUCAAAGAAUGGUACUAUGAAGUUCUGGUGGGCUAGUGCUUCAAGCGUCAGCAUAUGAGUUCUUUUACAUUGUGAUCUGGAAGCCAUUUCGGUACAAAGUUGCACCCUCCAUUCUCAAUGUUGUUGAGGCCACCGGCGACGGCGUCUUCAGUUGGAACUUGCAGAUAUUACGCCACACAAUCAGCAUAUGCUACACACUCUUCAAACUUGAAACUGUUGGUGUUUGGGCGCCUAACAAAUGCAUGGUGUUUACUUGGCUCGCUGCUCAAGACCGGUGCAGGUGCAAUCAGAGCGUCUGCCUCCCUUUGUGACCAGGCCGACAAGGCAUUAUCGCGUCUCCGGUCUUGCAGGGUCUCCUCUCUGCAGCAGAUCGCCCCACUGCCGGAUGAGGUCUACCAGAGACCGCAGCUGAACGCACCGGUGCCAACAUGCUCGCCAAUUAUCCUAACUGUUGGAAACACCAUAAUAAUUGCCUUUUUGCCGCCGUCUCUUUUGUUUCCUUCGCUGCUAUGUGGCAAAUCUCGGCCAGCUUCUAAUUUGUACUUUCUUUGCAUAUGUAUAGUAUAUGCUGUUACGAUACUAAAUUCAGUUAUAAGACCAUUGCAUUUCGUUGUUUUA